rnacentral:rRNA from 1 species
GGGUGCGAUCAUACCAGCGUUAAUGCACCGGAUCCCAUCAGAACUCCGUAGUUAAGUGCACUUGGGCCAGAGUAGUACGGGUGUUGGGGUCC